CCCCAUUUGGCAACUUUUUUCUUCUCUUCCAACCCCACUGAACACUGAUAGUGAUGGUGAUAGCUGAAGCCGGAAAUGAGCGAGCUGAGUUUGCAGUUGACGGGUUUCUAAGCACAGUUGAUAGGUUGCAAGCUGAACAACAUAAACAGGUACUUUAUUGAUGGUUUUAUAUUUUAUUGUAGGGUUAUGCACAUGUUGUUUUGUAUCCUUGUUAUGCAUGUAUUUAAUA